rnacentral:rRNA from 1 species
AAUCCAUAGGUUAAUGAGGCGAACCGGGGGAACUGAAACAUCUAAGUACCCCGAGGAAAAGAAAUCAACCGAGAUUCCCCCAGUAGCGGCGAGCGAACGGGGAGGAGCCCAGAGCCUGAAUCAGCAUGUGUGUUAGUGGAAGCGUCUGGAAAGGUGCGCGAUACAGGGUGACAGCCCCGUACACAAAAGCGCAUGUGCUGUGAGCUCGAUGAGUAGGGCGGGACACGUGGUAUCCUGUCUGAAUAUGGGGGGACCAUCCUCCAAGGCUAAAUACUCCUGACUGACCGAUAGUGAACCAGUACCGUGAGGGAAAGGCGAAAAGAACCCCGGCGAGGGGAGUGAAAAAGAACCUGAAACCGUGUACGUACAAGCAGUGGGAGCACCCUUCGGGGUGUGACUGCGUACCUUUUGUAUAAUGGGUCAGCGACUUAUAUUCUGUAGCAAGGUUAACCGUAUAGGGGAGCCGUAGGGAAACCGAGUCUUAACCGGGCGUUAAGUUGCAGGGUAUAGACCCGAAACCCGGUGAUCUAGCCAUGGGCAGGUUGAAGGUUGGGUAACACUAACUGGAGGACCGAACCGACUAAUGUUGAAAAAUUAGCGGAUGACCUGUGGCUGGGGGUGAAAGGCCAAUCAAACCGGGAGAUAGCUGGUUCUCCCCGAAAGCUAUUUAGGUAGCGCCUCGUGAAUUCAUCUCCGGGGGUAGAGCACUGUUUCGGCUAGGGGGCCAUCCCGGCUUACCAACCCGAUGCAAACUGCGAAUACCGGAGAAUGUUAUCACGGGAGACACACGGCGGGUGCUAACGUCCGUCGUGAAGAGGGAAACAACCCAGACCGCCAGCUAAGGUCCCAAAGUCAUGGUUAAGUGGGAAACGAUGUGGGAAGGCCCAGACAGCCAGGAUGUUGGCUUAGAAGCAGCCAUCAUUUAAAGAAAGCGUAAUAGCUCACUGGUCGAGUCGGCCUGCGCGGAAGAUGUAACGGGGCUAAACCAUGCACCGAAGCUGCGGCAGCGAACGUAUCACCCAAGACAACUUUACGGAGUUGACGAUUGACGGAGCGAAGCGACGUCAAAGCGUUCAUUAAAGUCGAGUUGGCUUAGGGAUACGUUCGUUGGGUAGGGGAGCGUUCUGUAAGCCUGUGAAGGUGUGUCGUGAGGCAUGCUGGAGGUAUCAGAAGUGCGAAUGCUGACAUAAGUAACGAUAAAGCGGGUGAAAAGCCCGCUCGCCGGAAGACCAAGGGUUCCUGUCCAACGUUAAUCGGGGCAGGGUGAGUCGACCCCUAAGGCGAGGCCGAAAGGCGUAGUCGAUGGGAAACGGGUUAAUAUUCCCGUACUUGGUGUUACUGCGAAGGGGGGACGGAGAAGGCUAUGUUGGCCGGGCGACGGUUGUCCCGGUUUAAGCGUGUAGGUGUGUGUUCCAGGUAAAUCCGGUUCACUUUAACACUGAGGCGUGACGACGAGGCACUACGGUGCUGAAGCAACAAAUGCCCUGCUUCCAGGAAAAGCCUCUAAGCAUCAGGUAACACGAAAUCGUACCCCAAACCGACACAGGUGGUCAGGUAGAGAAUACCAAGGCGCUUGAGAGAACUCGGGUGAAGGAACUAGGCAAAAUGGUGCCGUAACUUCGGGAGAAGGCACGCUGACACGUAGGUGAAGUGAUUUACUCAUGGAGCUGAAGUCAGUCGAAGAUACCAGCUGGCUGCAACUGUUUAUUAAAAACACAGCACUGUGCAAACACGAAAGUGGACGUAUACGGUGUGACGCCUGCCCGGUGCCGGAA